rnacentral:lncRNA from 1 species
UGUGUCACAUGCGGGUAGGUGACGGUGCGGGGCUGGCGCUGUGGGCCCCUAGGCUAGUUGUCUCUCCCGCCGCGGAUCAACAGUGGCGCUGUGGCUGUUUGGCGGCAGUUUACAUGCGGAUUCCAGGGAACUUUCCACCGCAAAUCUGUUCCCUAAAAGUAUACAAAAUUGAACUCCCCGCCUGAAGUUGUGGGAUGAAGUGAACUCUAUUGCUGAAGUGUGUGAUAAGUGAACGUCUGGCGCCUCACAAAGACUGAAAGUUGAGUCAGAGUGAACUGUUUGACCUGAGGGCGGUGCAUCAGUCGAGUGUUAAGGUGGUCCUCAACUCCCCUGAUGUGGUCCUUCACGCCCGGGGAGGAGUGGGUGAGGUCAUCCUUCUGUGAUUAAAGGAAUCCCACACGAACAGGAGGACCGUUUGGAAAGUUGAGACAGGAGGAGGUUGCUCAGGGAAGAGGUGGCCAAAAAAGGGUUGGCCCAGAAGGAGGUGGCCCAGAAGGAGGUGGCCCUGAAAUAGGUGGCCCAGAAAUAAGUGGCCAAGGAGGGGGUUAACGUGCCUCCUGCUGGCCUCAUCACACACCACGAUCUCCUUCAUCCGUCGCAAGUUACUCGGCCUGUGGGACCCAGG